UGCUUUCGGCGAUGUGGCCACAUAUUUGAUUUUAAGAGGGAUCAGAUGUCGCUUCUCUUAUAUGUAGGUUCACUAGGAUGUGCGGUCCACCUGAAAAUCUACACCAGCCGCAAGAACAAAUGCCUCGAUGGGAUAGGUAUGGACGUUCAUUCUAUUCAACACCAGGCUUCAAAUUGGCUGGAGGUCAAAGUUUCGGACAGGCAGUCGAUCCGAAACCGUUACCAAAUCUAUACCGUUGGACUGAUGAAAUAUUCAAUCAAAUUCAAUCCAAACGUAAAUUCAUAUGAAAACAUAAUGAGCCCAAAUCAUUCAAUGGUCCUGAGUAAAAUUCAUUGGUUAUCGACCGGACCCGGGUACAAGCCACGAAAAAAUCUAGCCGAAUUGCUCACCACAAAUGAUUUCAAGUUAAAAAAUAUCAAUUAAACUCCUUGCUUUUCCAGUAAAUUUAAUAACCUACCUCUGCCAUCGUCGAAGGUGUAAAGCCUCGCCAACAGCCUACAAACGUAAUAAAUGGAAAUGCAUCGAAGAAAGUCGCUCAGCUGAUGUUCAAUUCAGCAGCAGCGGGAGUUAAUUAUGCGAUAAACAGACGACGGUGAACUUGAAACGCAAUAGAUGAUUAAUUUUCCUACUUCUAAAGUAAGUCUCACGAUUGCGGACCCACAGUGCCAUUAGAGGUCAUUAAUACCCGCAGCCAGCUGGACUGCGAAGUUCAAUCACGUUAUACGCUCAUACGUCGGGAUCGAGUACUUCAAAUUUUGAUCAGCACACACAAAAUUUUCGAGCCUCCACUUAGCAAAAAUACUGCGUUACUUUCGAUUAGCAAUAAGGGUUGUUUUACUAACGCGAUAGCAAAAUGCUUAUUUUGCUUGAAUUUAGUAAAAAAGUCAACUAGCUAGCCGCUUUGUUCGGAUAGCAGCCGCCGGCUACGAGAGAAAGAAAAAUAAAUCAACGUGAAUCAGUACGAUUGGCGGAACCUGUGGAGGCGGGGCUGAUAAGUCAGUGACGAAAUGGUAGCCAGACUAACACCGGAAGCGUACAGGAACUUACCAAUGAAUGAACAGUAAUGCGGUUACGGAAUCGGGUUCACUGCUAGUGGUGCCAAGGUGUGAUGGCCAAGUGGCCGACGGAAGGUGGAUAAAACAUCGGAAGCGAAUAGGUUGUUCCUGCCGGCCAUCAUUGCAGGAUGAUCGACAAAAAGGAACCAUUUUCACCCGGGUGAAAGACCAAUUCUAAAGAUCAAGUGGACAAAUUAGUUAGUUAGUUAAGUGACUUGCAUUUUUUUUAAAUAAAUGAAGUGAAAUAA